rfam:Oryza glumipatula chromosome 5, whole genome shotgun sequence.
UUUAAACAUAGCCACGAUUUUUCGUGUCCAACUUUAAUAAUCCUUCUUAUUUAAAUAUUUUUAUGAUUAGUAUUUUUAUUGUUAUUAGAUGAUAAAACAUGAAUAGUACUUUAUGCGUGACUUAUGUUUUUUUAUUUAUUUUUAAAUAAAACCGAUUAUUAAAGUUGGACAUUAAAACUUAUGGCUGCGCUUAAA